CCCGCGAGAGGUCCUCCCUCGGUGUCCAGACACCGUGUAGUCGGGCUCUUUGCACCCUCUCGUUAAAACCAGUUAGGAGAGCAGGGCACAACGCGCGGAUGCGGUUAGGCAAGGAGGCGAUCUGAGCCCGUCUUGGGAUCCGGAAAAAGGAGUUAGGUGUGUCGGCGGCGUGUGCAGGAGGAGGGAGGACUGAAGGAGUGGCAUCGCCGUUGGACGAUUAGGUGUGCGGCCUCAUCGGGGAGCGAACUGCGGUGUCGACUAACUCCUCCUACGCUCCCCCUCCUCGUCCGCUGCCGGACCUACUUCACUCUCUUCACCGGCCACCGCGCCUACUUCUUCUCCUCGUGGGCCACCGCGCCUAGUUCCCUCUAUCGUGGCCGACGUCGCCGCUGCCGCUGCGCGCCUACCCUCUCUCAAGCACGUAACCCUCUCCCUCCACUCCCGCGCCUCUCCGCCGAGCCGAGCCAGGUCACCUUGAGGAACCGUUCUCUACAACGCGACGGCUACCGACGUCGGUCUUGACUUAACCGCAAGCGCUGCGGAAAACCAUAAAAUCAGGAGGAGUGGAGAGAAAGAAGGGGAGAGAAGUACAUGAUCCAAAAUAAGGUGAUGAGAGACGCAGUGUCCACAAGUACUUAAAAUGAAAGGUCACCAACCCACAGCAGUGUUUUGAACGCUGACAUCGUUCUACACGAAGAACUGUUUAACGAUAAUCCACGAGAGAGAAAUGGACAACUAAAAGACAAACAAACAAAAAUCUAAAGGACUAUAAGCUAAAUAGAUUUGCGGUGAUAGAGAGUCUAGCUCUCUCCUCUCCUUGACUACUUAAACCACUUAUUGUUCCACUGUGUGUGUGAAAGAGAGAGAGAGAGAGUACAUUUGUGCCCAGUAAAACUACAAUGAUAAACACGAUUACAUUUAUACUCAACACGUAUAUAACUAGAUUUACAUAAUCUUUUUACCAGACCAACGCCUUGUAAACCAUCUGUUAACAAAAUAAGUUGUACCUUGUUCAACAAAACUACAUGAGGGAGACAAGGCUUUACAUUCAGCGACCUCGCUAGGUGCAUGUUUGAAAAAGUGCAAUGCUCUAAAAAGAUGAAAGGGUUUUACGGGAGGGUGGCGAGGUGAGCGAGGGACAGAGCAAGGUGAGCGAGGUGAGGUGAGCAGACGGAGGAGUGCGGGCGGUGAGGGUUUAGGGGAGGAGAGCGGGCGGAGAGGAGACGAGGGCAGCGGCCAGAGAGGAAAGG
rnacentral:rRNA from 1 species